GUAGAUGAGGCAGCGCAGGGGCUGCCGCUUCGCCGCCUGCUGCUUCGCCACGAAGGGGUUCCCGUGCUGUGGGAGCGAGUCUGGGACCACUGGUCGGAACUGAGAAUUCCAGCUGUGUGUCAGGGCUAGGAGGGCUCCGGGAUGCGCGCGAGGUAAGGAACUGGUGCUACGCUGUUCUCCUUUGUUCUCCUGACCCCUGGGAAUUCUGGGAAAGUCGUUCACAAGAGACUUGAGUUUCGAUUCACCUGACUGUAAAAGUGCUGACAAUGAGUGUUUCCACUGUUCCUGUGACAGAGAGCCUGGACUUCAGCUGCUGAAGAAGAACUCGGACCUAACCCUCCAGAGCGGGACCUUUACUUUGGCACAUAUUUGGCCCUUAGCUAAACAAAAAUUGAAAAGGGGAGAUUUAAAAUUUUCAUCUAAUUGAGACUUUAUAUAAUAGAUCUUUUUCUUAUUUUAUUGUGGCAACAAGAGGAGAGAUUGCAUUCUUGAGUUUUUAUUGUUGGAAUGUAAUAAUCCUGGCUAUUCCACUGCUCUUGUGGAGUUGUUUGGUCUAUGCUGGUACAUGGUACUUGCUAUGAAACACUGUCUGGUGAACUGGAUAGGCAAGUAGCUAAAGAAAACGUCAUAAGAAACAGAAAUAGGAGUUGAGUCCAAUCUCUCUCCUGCACUGCAAGAUUCUGUUGCAGUGGUCCCUACACCUAUUGCCAUAGCACCCCCAAAUUUUCUUUAAAGCUAAGCAAAUAGAAAUAGAGGAUGGAUUCUCAAGUAGAUAUACCAAGUAAGGGAGGAGACCACCCCUCACCAUCUUAUGCCCAAUUUCUGCCUCCAAAGAAAGAAGAAGUAAAAACUGAAAGGCGGAAAUGAAAUCCACAGGCAGACAGCCAGGUGCUGCACCCUGGGCCCAGUAGUUGAAGAUUAACCCCUGACGUAUCUAUAGAUUACAGACAUUGUAUAGAAAUGCACUGUGAAGCCGGGCGCGGUGGCUCAAGCCUGUAAUCCCAGCACUUUGGGAGGCCGAGACGGGCGGAUCACGAGGUCAGGAGAUCGAGACCAUCCUGGCUAACACAGUGAAACCCCGUCUCUACUAAAAAAUACAAAAAACUAGCCGGGCGAGGUGGUGGGCGCCUGUAGUCCCAGCUACUCGGGAGGCUGAGGCAGGAGAAUGGCGUAAACCCGGGAGGCGGAGCUUGCAGUGAGCUGAGAUCCGGCCACUGCACUCCAGCCUGGGCGACAGAGUAAGACUCCGUCUCAAAAAAAAAAAAAAAAAAAGAAAUGCACUGUGAAAAUCCCUAUCCUGUUUUGUUCCGAUCUAAUUACUGGUGCAUGCAGCCCCCAGUCAUGUACCCGCUGCUUGCUCAGUCAAUCAUGACCGUCUCACACGCACCCCCUUAGAGUUGUGAGCCCUUAAGAGGGACAGGAAUUACUUACUCUGGGAGCUCGGCUCUUGAGACAGGAGUCUUGUCGAUGCCCCCCGCCAAAUAAACCCCUUCUUUCUUUAA
rnacentral:lncRNA from 1 species